rnacentral:piRNA from 1 species
UUCUUUGCAAUGGUUACCCUCUCACAGGGCU